CCUACGGGCGGCAGCAGUGGGGAAUAUUGGACAAUGGGGGCAACCCUGAUCCAGCCAUGCCGCGUGUGUGAAGAAGGCCCUCGGGUUGUAAAGCACUUACAGUGAGGAAGAACGCCUGGUGGUUAAUACCCAUCAGGAAAGACAUCACUCACAGAAGAAGCACCGGCUAACUCCGUGCCAGCAGCCGCGGUAAUACGGAGGGUGCGAGCGUUAAUCGGAAUUACUGGGCGUAAAGCGCGCGUAGGUGGCUUGAUAAGCCGGUUGUGAAAGCCCCGGGCUCAACCUGGGAACGGCAUCCGGAACUGUCAAGCUAGAGUGCAGGAGAGGAAGGUAGAAUUCCCGGUGUAGCGGUGAAAUGCGUAGAGAUCGGGAGGAAUACCAGUGGCGAAGGCGGCCUUCUGGACUGACACUGACACUGAGGUGCGAAAGCGUGGGUAGCAAACAGGAUUAGAUACCCUUGUAGUC
rnacentral:rRNA from 1 species